rnacentral:rRNA from 2 species
UGGGGAAUAUUGCGCAAUGGGCGAAAGCCUGACGCAGCGACGCCGCGUGAGGGAUGAAGGUUUUCGGAUCGUAAACCUCUGUCAGAAGGGAAGAAACUACAUUGUGCUAAUCAGCAGUGUACUGACGGUACCUUCAAAGGAAGCACCGGCUAACUCCGUGCCAGCAGCCGCGGUAAUACGGAGGGUGCAAGCGUUAAUCGGAAUUACUGGGCGUAAAGCGCACGUAGGCUGUAGUGUAAGUCAGGGGUGAAAUCCCACGGCUCAACCGUGGAACUGCCUUUGAUACUGCACAACUUGAAUCCGGGAGAGGGUGGCGGAAUUCCAGGUGUAGGAGUGAAAUCCGUAGAUAUCUGGAGGAACAUCAGUGGCGAAGGCGGCCACCUGGACCGGUAUUGACGCUGAGGUGCGAAAGCGUGGGGAGCAAACAGG